UGGGGAAUAUUGGACAAUGGGCGAAAGCCUGAUCCAGCAAUGCCGCGUGAAUGAUGAAGGCCCUAGGGUUGUAAAGUUCUUUUGGUAGGGAAGAUAAUGACGGUACCUACAGAAUAAGCUCCGGCUAACUCCGUGCCAGCAGCCGCGGUAAGACGGAGGGAGCUAGCGUUGUUCGGAAUUACUGGGCGUAAAGAGCGCGUAGGCGGUUUGGUAAGUUGGAAGUGAAAGCCCGGGGCUUAACUCCGGAACUGCUUUCAAAACUGCUAAUCUAGAGUAUAGUAGGGGAUGAUGGAAUUCCUAGUGUAGAGGUGAAAUUCUUAGAUAUUAGGAGGAACACCGGUGGCGAAGGCGAUCAUCUGGGCUAUUACUGACGCUGAGGCGCGAAAGCGUGGGGAGCAAACAGG
rnacentral:rRNA from 1 species